UACAGAGGUCCCAAGCGUUGUUCGGAUUCACUGGGCGUAAAGGGUGCGUAGGUGGUGAGGUAAGUCGGAUGUGAAAUCUCCGGGCUCAACCCGGAAAUGGCAUUGGAAACUACCUUGCUUGAGGAUUUGAGGGGGGAUUGGAAUACUUGGUGUAGCAGUGAAAUGCGUAGAUAUCAAGUGGAACACCAGUGGCGAAGGCGGUUCUCUGGGCCUUACCUGACGCUGAGGAGCGAAAGCGUGGGGAGCAAACAGG
rnacentral:rRNA from 1 species